CACUACACGAUGCAGAAAAAUUAGUUCAUGCUUUUGUUACCUCUAGGUUGGAUUAUUGUAAUGCCUUACUG